GACGAACGCUGGCGGCGUGCUUAACACAUGCAAGUCGAACGGAAAGGCCCUGCUUUUGUGGGGUGCUCGAGUGGCGAACGGGUGAGUAACACGUGAGUAACCUGCCCUUGACUUUGGGAUAACUUCAGGAAACUGGGGCUACUACCGGAUAGGAGCUCCUGCUGCAUGGUGGGGGUUGGAAAGUUUCGGCGGUUGGGGAUGGACUCGCGGCUUAUCAGCUUGUUGGUGGGGUAGUGGCUUACCAAGGCUUUGACGGGUAGCCGGCCUGAGAGGGUGACCGGCCACAAUGGGACUGAGAUACGGCCCAGACUGCUACGGGGGGCAGCAGUGGGGAAUAUUGCACAAUGGGCGGAAGCCUGAUGCAGCAACGCCGCGUGCGGGAUGACGGCCUUCGGGUUGUAAACCGAUUUCGCCUGUGACGAAGCGUGAGUGACGGUAAUGGGUAAAGAAGCACCGGCUAACUACGUG
rnacentral:rRNA from 1 species